rfam:Treponema sp. OMZ 838, complete genome.
ACGGACAGGGAUGUCCGUGGUUCUACGCAACAGCGAUGUUUUUGCGAUGCAAAAACUCGCGUCCAGAAGUGUACACGGAUGUACACUUCUGGACAGUC